rfam:Takifugu rubripes chromosome, Chr_22
UAAAGGGUUCUUUUUGGAACCACCAAAAGAAGCCUACAUUUAAAAG